rnacentral:tRNA from 1 species
UGGGGUGUGGCUCAGCGGUAGAGUGCUCGCCUUUCGAGACCCUGGGUUCGAUCCUCAGCACCACAU